rnacentral:rRNA from 1 species
AGCGGCGGAUGGGUGAGUAACACGUGGGGAACCUGCCCCUAAGUCUGGGAUACCAUUUGGAAACAGGUGCUAAUACCGGAUAAUAAAGCAGAUCGCAUGAUCAGCUUUUGAAAGGCGGCGUAAGCUGUCGCUAAGGGAUGGCCCCGCGGUGCAUUAGCUAGUUGGUAAGGUAACGGCUUACCAAGGCGACGAUGCAUAGCCGAGUUGAGAGACUGAUCGGCCACAUUGGGACUGAGACACGGCCCAAACUCCUACGGGAGGCAGCAGUAGGGAAUCUUCCACAAUGGACGCAAGUCUGAUGGAGCAACGCCGCGUGAGUGAAGAAGGUUUUCGGAUCGUAAAGCUCUGUUGUUGGUGAAGAAGGAUAGAGGUAGUAACUGGCCUUUAUUUGACGGUAAUCAACCAGAAAGUCACGGCUAACUACGUGCCAGCAGCCGCGGUAAUACGUAGGUGGCAAGCGUUGUCCGGAUUUAUUGGGCGUAAAGCGAGCGCAGGCGGAAAAAUAAGUCUAAUGUGAAAGCCCUCGGCUUAACCGAGGAACUGCAUCGGAAACUGUUUUUCUUGAGUGCAGAAGAGGAGAGUGGAACUCCAUGUGUAGCGGUGGAAUGCGUAGAUAUAUGGAAGAACACCAGUGGCGAAGGCGGCUCUCUGGUCUGCAACUGACGCUGAGGCUCGAAAGCAUGGGUAGCGAACAGGAUUAGAUACCCGGGUAGUCCAUACCGUAAACGAUGAGUGCUAAGUGU